AGCUUUUACUCUUUUGUUUGGUCUUCAGAUUAACGACCAAACUACUGUCUCUACCAAAAUCGGUGACUGAACCCCAACUGAACCCUAGUUGGCUAUUCCCUUUCUCUGAUUUUGACCUCAUCCAAUCAUUUUCUUCGGACCGCCUUAGCAUUCAAAUUUUCCUCUUUUCCCUCUGUCAGAACUAAUUGUUAAUAUGCUCCUCUAAUCAUCUCACCUCGACCUGCCAAAAUUAGGGCUUUCAGAUUCUGCAAUGGUGGGGAUGAUGAACCCCACUUCGAGAGACAGGCUUGCCAUUCUCGUCAGUUCUUCCAUAGACAUACCUUCAAAGCUUGAAAAUUUGCGUCGAUUAAACCAAAAUUUGCUAGAAGAAGAUGAUGUUAGUUCGCUUUCUGAGUUCCUCCCUCGUCUCUUCAAGUUGCAGUCUGAUCAGCACUCCCCGGUUCGCAAAUGUGUCGCCCAGAUAAUUGGAGAAAUUGGACUCAGGCACUUGGAAUUUGUGCCUGAAAUUGUUCCCGUUUUAAUUAGUGUUUUGGAAGAUCGUGCACCAGCCGUUGCUAGACAAGCCAUUACUUGUGGAGUUAAUUUGUUUCGGUCUACCCUCCAAAAACUUGCACUUCAGGGUCUUUACACCAGUGAGUUGGAUGAUUUGCUCAAGUCAUCAUGGUCAUCAAUGUUAGAGUUCAAGGAAAAAAUGUACUCCAUAGCUUUUCAGCCUGGGAGUGGUGGAGUAAGAUUGCUGGCAUUGAAGUUUGUGGAAGCAGUCAUUCUUCUUUACACACCUGAUCCUAAUGGCUCUCCAGAACCCCCUCGUCAUGAAGGAGAACCUGUGGAGUUCAAUGUAUCAUGGCUUCGUAGUGGCCACCCAGUACUAAAUGUUGGAGAUUUGUCGAUUGAGGCCAGCAAAAGAUUGGGUUUAUUGCUAGAUCAACUUAGGCUCCCAACAGUGAAAUCUCUCAAUAACUUGGUGAUUGUGGUGCUCAUUAAUAGUCUUGCUACCAUUGCAAAGAAAAGGCCCCCAUAUUAUGGACGCAUCCUACCAGUUUUACUUGGUUUGGGUCCAUCAAGUUCUGGUAUUGAAGUUAUGAAUGCUUCUGGGGCGAAUCAUGCUUUGAAAAGUGCCUUCCUCACCUGCCUGAAAUGUACUCACCCUGGUGCUUCUCCGUGGCGGGAUCGAUUAGUUGGUGCCCUGAGAGAGAUGAAAGCUGGAGGGGUUGCUGAUGAAGCCCUACAUCAUAUUCUCAAGAUUAAUGGGAGUUCUGAGGAGAGGGAAGAAGUUUCAACCAUUGUCAUGAAUGAGGUUCAAACAUCUGAUGGCGCACAAGGUAAAUUGGGAAGCAAAAGAUCUGGAGCAGAGGACAGUAGUGAGUUGGCAGAAGCCAAUGAUGUGUCUGGAAAACGUGCGAGACCAAUGCCAAGUGUUUCAGAGGAGCCAAAUAAAGAAUUGAAUAGGAAUGUUUCUGGGUCUCAGGAUGAUGUUCCUUCAGAUGGACCUACAGUAAAUGGAGAAGAUGAUACUGGACCUGUACAGCAACUUGUUGCAAUGUUCGGAGCCUUGGUUGCUCAAGGUGAAAAAGCUGUUGGUUCUUUGGAGAUUCUUAUUUCAAGUAUAUCUGCUGACUUGUUAGCUGAAGUUGUGAUGGCUAACAUGCGCUACCUUCCUACAAGCCAUCCUCAAGCUGAAGAAGACGAUGAAUCACUAGUGAAUAUGACUAUAAUUGGCAGUAACACUCAAGCCAAGUAUCCAUCAUCAUUUUUGAAUAAUGUCCUUUCUCUUUCUACUUCUUUCCCACCUAUAGCUUCACAGCUAAAUGCUCAGCAUUCAGCUUCCAAUGAUAUAGAGAGGAUGUCACGGGUAGAAGAACUUCAUGCUGUUCCUGUGGCUGAUAGUACUGUUGUAUAUUCUGGAAUAAGUCAUGGAGCUGAAAAUGAAAUGUUUCCUGCUAGUUUACCAUUGCCAGCCAGUUUACCGUCACCUACAAAUGUGAUGUCAUCUCGAACAGGGAUGGAUAUUCCAUCUGAUAGUCUUGGUCUAGGGGAUUUGGAGAGUGAGAUACCUGGCUUAGACUCUUCUGCUCAUAAUGAUGGAUGUUCAGAAACUGUAGGCACUUUAUCAUUAGCCUCUACUGAUCUGGAAGAUGCCAGUCAAGAGCAAGUUACAAGUUUGGAUGGAAGUUCAACCCUGGAUUUGCAUCCGGCAGUAUCAACAGAUAGGUCAGAUGAGCUUAGUCCAAAGGCAGCUGUGGCAGAGUCUAAUUGUUUAAUCUCUUCUACAGCAACUACUGUGGGUUUGCCUUGUACUUUUGUCCUGCCAAAAAUGUCAGCACCUGUUGUCGACCUUGCAGAAGAACAGAAGGAUGAACUGCAAAAUUUGGCCUUUAUGCACAUUGUUGAGGCAUAUAAGCAAAUAGCAGUUGCAGGGGGUUCUCAAGUCCGCUUUUCUCUGCUUGCUUAUUUAGGAGUUGAGUUUCCGUCAGAGUUAGACCCAUGGAAACUCCUCCAGAAGCACGUAUUGUCAGAUUACACGGGUCAUGAGGGACACGAGUUGACUUUGCGUGUCCUCUACAGGUUAUUUGGUGAGGUGGAAGAGGAACGUGACUUCUUUUCUUCUACAACGGCUGCUUCUGCAUAUGAAAUGUUCCUCCUAAAUGUGGCUGAAACACUUAGAGACUCUUUUCCUCCUUCAGACAAAUCUUUAAGUAGAUUGCUUGGUGAAGCUCCUUCUCUUCCAAAGUCAGUUUUGAAUUUGUUGGAGGCCUUGUGUUCUCCAGGAAAUGAUAAAGCUGAGAAGGAGUUCCCAAGUGGGGAUCGAGUUACUCAAGGUCUCAGCACUGUGUGGAGCUUGAUUUUGCAGAGGCCUCCUAUGCGAGAAGUCUGCUUGAGAAUUGCUUUGCAGAGUGCAGUUCAUCACUUGGAGGAAGUGCGGAUGAAGGCAAUUCGCCUGGUGGCAAACAAGCUUUAUCCUAUAUCAUCCAUAGCUCAAAAAAUAGAAGAUUUUGCGAAGGAAAAAUUGCUCUGUAUCAUCAGUAGAGAUGUGACAGAAGGUACAGAUGCUGAAGGAUUGAGCAGUGAACCAAGGAAGGAUUUCAAUUUGGAAAAAACAUCAAAUGACCAUCAGUCAGUGAGUGCCACCGGCAAAGACAUCUCCUCUGAUCAAUCAUUCACAUCAGAAAGUGAAUCAUCUCGCUCAAUCCCAGAGGCCCAGCAGUGCAUGUCAUUGUACUUUGCCCUUUGCACAAAGAGACACUCCCUAUUUCGCGAGAUUUUUCUUAUUUAUAAAAACACUUCAAAAGCAGUUAAGCAGGCAGUUCAUCGCCAUAUUCCCAUACUAGUCCGCACAAUGGGAUCAUCAUCUGAACUUCUUGAAAUACUUUCUGAUCCUCCAGUUGGAAGUGAAAAUCUUCUGACGCAGGUUUUACAAACACUGACAGAUGGGAUAGUUCCUCCUCCGGAAUUAUUGUUCACCAUAAAGAAGUUAUAUGAUUCAAAACUAAAGGAUAUAGAGAUUCUGAUUCCAGUGCUGCCAUUCCUACCAAGAGAUGAGGUUUUGAUGACCUUUCCCCAUCUUGUGAAUCUUCCUCUGGACAAGUUCCAACCUGCCCUUGCACGUAUACUACAGGGAUCACCUCACUCUGGUCCCGUGCUCACUCCAGCUGAAGUGUUAAUAGCUAUUCAUGGAAUUGAUCCUGACAAAGAUGGAAUUCCCCUGAAGAAGGUUACAGAUGCAUGUAAUGCUUGUUUUGAGCAACGGCAAAUAUUUACUCAACAAGUUAUUGCGAAAGUUUUGAAUCAGUUGGCUCUCUACUGCAGGUUGAGCAGAUUCCUCUUCCUUUGUUAUUCAUGCGAACGGUAUUACAAGCUAUAGGUGCUUUCCCAGCACUGGUGGAAUUUAUAAUGGAGAUCCUUUCUCGUCUUGUUAGCAAGCAGAUAUGGAAAUACCCAAAGUUGUGGGUAGGAUUUUUGAAAUGUGCACUCUUGACAAAGCCUCAGUCAUUCAGUGUGUUGCUUCAGCUACCUCCUCAGCAACUGGAAAAUGCACUGAAUAGAACUGCUGCUUUGAAAGCUCCUUUGGUUGCUCAUGCUAGCCAACCAAACAUCAAAUCUUCACUACCUAGGUCUAUUCUAGUGGUUCUGGGAAUAGCUCCAGAUCCACAGGCUUCAAGUCAGGCACAAACAAGUCAAACUCAAACUGGAGAUGCUAGCAACUCGGAUAAGGACGUGCCGGCAGAGAAAUCUAAAGAAUCUUCUAGUGCUAGUUGACAUGCCUGAGAAUUAAUUAUUACUGGAUCAGAAAAUUUUGCCUCAAGGGAGUUGACAAGGUUAGUAGCUUUUGGUGCCACCAAAUUUCCAGUUCUCAACUACCAUGCCAUCAUCUUCACUCUGUAAAUCAAUAGGAUUUCUAAGAACCAAAGGUAGCCCCGUGUUGUAUUAUACCCCUAACUGCUUAUACAUCAGAAUACCAUUAAAUGGAAUUGCUGCCUUAGCUGAAGAUUUUUGACAAUCAGGAAAAGAUGUUAGGAAAGCUUUCUAGAUGAAGCAAAAGCAUGUAGUUAGUGAAAUUUUGUUAGUUGAAUGAAAAAUGACUCUUAGUUGUGUAUUUUUCUUUUCUCUUCAAUAUCAUUUCUUCUAAGACAUAUGUUACUUAGUAGAUGUAUAUUGAUUUAAUCAAGUAUUUCCGAUUUGGUUGAUGAUUUCUGCAAGGUAGUAAACUUACCCCAUCAUUAUUGUAAUCAAGAAUUUUUCUUUUGAGUUUGGUUA